rnacentral:rRNA from 1 species
UACGGGGGGGGCAAGCGUUGUUCGGAAUUACUGGGCGUAAAGGGCUCGUAGGCGGCCAACUAAGUCAGACGUGAAAUCCCCAGGCUCAACCUGGGAACUGCGUCUGAUACUGGAUGGCUUGAGGAUGGGAGAGGGAUGUAGAAUUCCAGGUGUAGCGGUGAAAUGCGUAGAUAUCUGGAGGAAUACCGGUGGCGAAGGCGGCAUCCUGGACCAUUACUGACGCUGAGGCGCGAAAGCUAGGGGAGCAAACGGGG